rnacentral:lncRNA from 1 species
UGCUUUAAUUUCCACUUUUUCCUUGAGGUGAGAAAGGUGGGAGGUCUUUCUUUUGCAUGGGCGUUUCAUAUUGAUAUUAAAAAUUAAAAUAAAAGUUACAAAAAGGGAAUGAAAUAUUUCGUAAUCAUCAUCGACCAAGUAAAUGGUAACUGGAGCUUCAUCAGCUAAGUGAGAGACAACAACAUGGACUCAGUGUGGAAAUUUGCUCUCACCUAUCUCAGGUAGGUCUUUCUUCUUUCUCAACCAUUGCCAAUUCGGUUAAGGGCUAGUAACAGUUCCUUUAGGAGCAAUGGAGGAAGAACUAGGUGCUCCUCUUGUUGAAGCAAUCAACACAUCAAUCUCCAUCCUGCUUCAUUAAUAGAAAUGAGCUUUAGUUGUGUCUGAUAAAUUGAAGUGCUCUAGAUGCAAAGCCUUGUCAAUGAAGAUGGUUGAGUUAAAAGUUGUUCGAUUAAGGCAAAAUAUGAAUGAACAAGAACAGUAAUAGAUGCCAUGAUUCUUCGGAUUAAUCCUCUUGGUGAAACUAAUAAAUAACGGACUUCCAAGUCCAAGAGUACAUGAUUAAAGGACCUAAAUGCUAUUAACCUAACCUCAAGGUUGGGGAUAUCUCUCCAAACCCAAGCCUUGGGUAAGAACAUGAGAGAGUUAUUAUAUGGAUCGGGAGGAAAGAGGAAGAAAUUUUUUCUCUAAUUUUGAAAUGGAUCAAUCACUUAUAAGAAUUACUUCAAGCUUCUAAAAAAGGCAUGUAUGCUGAAUAGAUGAUGUCUAAAGUCUCCACCACCACAAACUGAUACAUAUGGCCCUGGUUGUGAUCAUCACCUAGUGUGAUUAAGAAUGUUUAUUUGGUGACAACUUCCCAAGGUUAAAACAUCACCCCUGAAUGUCUUUGGCAAAUAAAGACUGAUGAGGUGUUUAAGGGGGGAAAAGAAAGUUGGGCAAGAUCGGUGGGGUAUCAAAAACGACUUACGCUCCUAUAGAUAACCAAUUUGCUAGACACACCUGGCACUAGUGACAAAAUGCCAUAAUCAUCUCAUUGAUUAGAGAUUGCAUCGGAGACUGAAUGGGUAGGUAUAAAUGGAGAAAAACCCUAGUCUCUGGCUAGUGAUUCUUUUAUAUUCUCACCUAGUACAUCCGGAUGUCUUCUUCUCCAAUUGUAAUCUUUUAGUACCUUUGAUAUAUAGUCAGGCUGGACUAUAGAUGAAUACACAUUCACCGACUUGGCUCUUAUUUGAGAAUGAGGAGUGCAAUGUCAGUGAUGUUCUAGUUCCUCAGAAUGAUAUCCAUCGGUGGUGGUGGAAGUUGAUCACUCCCCCCUCCCCCUCUUUUCCUUUUAGUAAAAAGGGGGACCUCUCAACAAGAGCUCUCUAGGGGUAAGGAGGUCCUCAUCGGCAACAAUGCCACUAGCGAAGGCAGUUAAGUCUUUGAUGGGUGAAGCAAAGUUUAAACACUCCACAUAGAAGUAAAAGGACACUGAGAAGGAGUAGAAAGAAAUGACAGAAAUUUGACAAACUUCAACGAG